rnacentral:rRNA from 1 species
AUGCAGUCGAACGAUGAAGCCCAGCUUGCUGGGUGGAUUAGUGGCGAACGGGUGAGUAACACGUGAGUAACCUGCCCUUAACUCUGGGAUAAGCCUGGGAAACUGGGUCUAAUACCGGAUAGGAGCGCCUACCGCAUGGUGGGUGUUGGAAAGAUUUAUCGGUUUUGGAUGGACUCGCGGCCUAUCAGCUUGUUGGUGAGGUAAUGGCUCACCAAGGCGACGACGGGUAGCCGGCCUGAGAGGGUGACCGGCCACACUGGGACUGAGACACGGCCCAGACUCCUACGGGAGGCAGCAGUGGGGAAUAUUGCACAAUGGGCGCAAGCCUGAUGCAGCGACGCCGCGUGAGGGAUGACGGCCUUCGGGUUGUAAACCUCUUUCAGUAGGGAAGAAGCGAAAGUGACGGUACCUGCAGAAGAAGCACCGGCUAACUACGUGCCAGCAGCCGCGGUAAUACGUAGGGUGCGAGCGUUAUCCGGAAUUAUUGGGCGUAAAGAGCUCGUAGGCGGUUUGUCGCGUCUGUCGUGAAAGUCCGGGGCUUAACCCCGGAUCUGCGGUGGGUACGGGCAGACUAGAGUGCAGUAGGGGAGACUGGAAUUCCUGGUGUAGCGGUGGAAUGCGCAGAUAUCAGGAGGAACACCGAUGGCGAAGGCAGGUCUCUGGGCUGUAACUGACGCUGAGGAGCGAAAGCAUGGGGAGCGAACAGGAUUAGAUACCCUGGUAGUCCAUGCCGUAAACGUUGGGCACUAGGUGUGGGGACCAUUCCACGGUUUCCGCGCCGCAGCUAACGCAUUAAGUGCCCCGCCUGGGGAGUACGGCCGCGAGGCUAAAACUCAAAGGAAUUGACGGGGGCCCGCACAAGCGGCGGAGCAUGCGGAUUAAUUCGAUGCAACGCGAAGAACCUUACCAAGGCUUGACAUGUUCUCGAUCGCCGUAUAGAUACGGUUUCCCCUUUGGGGCGGGUUCACAGGUGGUGCAUGGUUGUCGUCACCUCGUGUCCUGACAUGUUGGGUUAAGUCCCGCACGAGCGCACCCUCGUUCAUGUUGCCGCACGUAAUGGUGGGGACUCAUGGAACUGCCGGGUCACUCGGAGGAGGUGAAGACGACUCAAUCAUAUGCCCCUUAGUCUUGGGCUUCCCAUGCUACAUGGCCGGUACAUGGGUGCCAUCUGUGAGGGGAGCUAUCCGAAAGCCGGUUCCAUUCCGAUGGGUUGCACUCCACCCUGGAAUCGGAUCCUUUGAUUCAAAACAAAACCCUGGGGUGAAACAAUUCCGGGCUUGUACACCGCGUUAAUCCGAAACCGGAACCCAACCGGGGCCUACUUUGGGGGGGGUUAAUGGCCGUCGGUCGUGGUUCUA